rnacentral:rRNA from 1 species
AGUGAACGCUGGCGGUAGGCCUAACACAUGCAAGUCGAACGGCAGCACCGGAGCGCUUGCUCUCUGGGUGGCGAAUGGCGGACGUGUGGGGAAUACAUCGGAAUCUACCUUUUCGUGGGGGAUAACGUAGGGAAACUUACGCUAGUACCGCAUACGACCUGCUGUUGAAAGUGGGGGACCGCAAGGUCUAACGCGUUUAGAUGAGCCGGUGUCGGAUUAGCUAGUUGGCGUGGUAAUGGCCCACCAAGGCGACGAUCGACAGCUGGGCUGAGAGGAUGAUCAGACACACUGGGGCUGAGACACGGCCGGGACUCCUACGGGAGGCAGCAGUGGGGAAUAUUGGACAAUGGGGGAAAGGCUGAUCCAGCAAUGCCGGGUGAGUGAUGAAGGCGUUAGGGUAGUAAAGCUCUUUUACCCGGGAUGAUAAUGACGGUACCGGGAGAAUAAGCACCGGCUAACUCCGUG